GAGCCCGUGGUCCAGUGGUUUAGGACUUCAGACUUUGAAUCUGACAACCCCGGUUCGAAUCCGGGCGGGCUCA